AUUAUUAUCGUUAUCAGAAACACAUUAACUUAAGCAUGAUGACACAUGUUUCAAAACCUUAUUCGUUUUUGUAAAUAUGGUAUCAAAUAUUACAAAUAGGUCUGCAUGGAGAUCGGAUAUUUAAUGUUGCUUUUGAAACCAAUGAGAGUUCGACUCGUUUAGGCUACCCUCCCGCAUUUCCUGCCUUCGAUGAUGAUAUAGGUCCAGAUCCACAUGAUUCAAACGGUAAAGCAGUGUGCUCUCACACUGACAACGAAUAUGAACCUUGGUGGUACGUAGACAUACAGGACUUGCAUACAAUUAAACAUGUUGUCCUUUACAACAGACAAGAUCAACCUGGACGCCUAGAAGGUGCUCAAGUAAGAGUUGGAAAAAGUAAAAACAAUUUAAAGCUAAAUACCGCAUGUGGGCCGCCUGUAUCAGAGGAUGAUGCCAGUGUAGCAGCCGGAAUCAUAACAUUAAGAUGUGAACCUGGAACUAUCGGAAACAUUGUGUCUGUCCAGCUGGAGAACAGAACACAAUUUUUGGCAUUAUGUGAAGUGAUAUUAUAUGGGACAAUAUACACAGAAUAUUUAACGACAAUAGUAGUGGAGCAAACUGAACGAGCAGUUACAUUGCCGUCGUGUAAGUACUGUAGAUAGGCUAUAAAACAAUCUUGACAUUAAUAUAUACACAAUAAAACCAGUAACA